rnacentral:rRNA from 1 species
CAGCAGCCGCGGUAAUACGGAGGGGGCUAGUGUUGUUCGGAAUUGCUGGGCGUAAAGCGCACGCAGGCGGUUUGUUAAGUCAGAUGUGAAAUCCCCGAGCUUAACUUGGGAACUGCAUUUGAAACUGGCAAGCUAGAGUCUUGUAGAGGGGGGUAGAAUUCCAGGUGUAGCGGUGAAAUGCGUAGAGAUCUGGAGGAAUACCGGUGGCGAAGGCGGCCCCCUGGACAAAGACUGACGCUCAGGUGCGAAAGCGUGGGGAGCAAACAGGAUUAGAUACCCCUGUAGUCCCUGUCUCUUAUAC